UACGUAGGGGGCAAGCGUUGUCCGGAAUCAUUGGGCGUAAAGAGCGCGUAGGCGGCCCUGUAAGUCCGCUGUGAAAGUCAAGGGCUCAACCCUUGAAUGCCGGUGGAUACUGCAGGGCUAGAGUCCGGAAGAGGCGAGUGGAAUUCCUGGUGUAGCAGUGAAAUGCGUAGAUAUCAGGAGGAAUACCGAUGGCGAAGGCAGGUCUCUGGGCUGACACUGACGCUCAUGCACGAAAGCGUGGGGAGCAAACAGG
rnacentral:rRNA from 1 species